rnacentral:rRNA from 1 species
GGUAAGACGAAGGGGGCUAGCGUUGUUCGGAAUCACUGGGCGUAAAGCGCAUGCAGGCGGAUCGAUAAGUCGGGGGUGAAAGCCCGAGGCUCAAACUCGGAACUGCCUUCGAUACUGUCGAUCUUGAGUCCGGGAGAGGUGAGUGGAACUCCGAGUGUAGAGGUGAAAUUCGUAGAUAUUCGGAAGAACACCAGUGGCGAAGGCGGCUCACUGGCCCGGUACUGACGCUGAGAUGCGAAAGCGUGGGGAGCAAACAGG